GACGAACGCUGGCGGCGUGCUUAACACAUGCAAGUCGAACGGAAAGGCCCUGCUUUUGUGGGGUGCUCGAGUGGCGAACGGGUGAGUAACACGUGAGUAACCUGCCCUUGACUUUGGGAUAACUUCAGGAAACUGGGGCUAAUACCGGAUAGGAGCUCCUGCUGCAUGGUGGGGGUUGGAAAGUUUCGGCGGUUGGGGAUGGACUCGCGGCUUAUCAGCUUGUUGGUGGGGUAGUGGCUUACCAAGGCUUUGACGGGUAGCCGGCCUGAGAGGGUGACCGGCGACAUGAGGACUGAGAUACGGCGCAGACUCCUACGGGAGGCAGCGGUGGGGAAUAUUGCACAGUGGGCGGAAGCCUGAUGCAGCAACGCCGCGUGCGGGAUGACGGCCUUCGGGUUGUGAACCGCUUUCGCCUGUGACGAAGCGUGAGUGACGGUAAUGGGUAAAGAAGCACCGGCUAACUACGUG
rnacentral:rRNA from 1 species